UACGAAGGGGGCUAGCGUUGUUCGGAAUCACUGGGCGUAAAGCGCACGUAGGCGGAUUGUUAAGUCAGGGGUGAAAUGCCAAGGCUCAACCUUGGAACUGCCUUUGAUACUGGCAAUCUCGAGUCCGGGAGAGGUGAGUGGAACUGCGAGUGUAGAGGUGAAAUUCGUAGAUAUUCGCAAGAACACCAGUGGCGAAGGCGGCUCACUGGCCCGGUACUGACGCUGAGGUGCGAAAGCGUGGGGAGCAAACAGG
rnacentral:rRNA from 1 species